rnacentral:rRNA from 1 species
UGUGACCGGAACGUAUUUAUUAGAUAUUAGACCAGUCGCAGAAAUGUGAUUGAGAUGAAUCAAAGUAACUGAUCGAAUCGAAGCUUGCUUCGAUAAAUCAUCUAAGUUUCUGCCCUAUCAGCUCUCGAUGGUAGUGUAUUGGACUACCAUGGCAGUCACGGGUAACGGAGAAUUAGGGUUCGAUUCCGGAGAAGGAGCCUGAGAAACGGCUACUACAACUACGGUUCGGCAGCAGGGAAGAAAAUUGGCCAAUCCUAAUUCAGGGAGCCAGUGACAAGAAAUAGCAAGCUGGGAAACUUAGUUUCUACGGCAUUGAAAUGAGAAAAGUGUUAAUCUCUUAGCGAGGAACAAUUGGAGGGCAAGUCAUGGUGCCAGCAGCCGCGGUAAUUCCAGCUCCAAUAGCGUAUAUUAAAGUUGUUGCAGUUAAAAAGCUCGUAGUUGAACUUCUGUUCAGGUUCAUUUCGACUCGUCGUGUGAAACUGGACAUACGUUUGCAAACUAAAAUCGGCCUUCACUGGUUCGACUUAGGGAGUAAACAUUUUACUGUGAAAAAAUUAGAGUGUUCCAGGCAGGUUUUAGCCCGAAUACAUUAGCAUGGAAUAAUGGAAUAGGACUAAGUCCAUUUUAUUGGUUCUUGGAUUUGGUAAUGAUUAAUAGGGACAGUUGGGGGCAUUAGUAUUUAAUAGUCAGAGGUGAAAUUCUUGGAUUUAUUAAGGACUCACUAAUGCGAAAGCAUUUGCCAAAGAUGUUUUCAUUAAUCAAGAACGAAAGUUAGGGGAUCAAAGACGAUCAGAUACCGUCGUAGUCUUAACUAUAAACUAUACCGACUCGGGAUCGGCUGGAAUAAAUGUCCAGUCGGCACCGUAUGAGAAAUCAAAGUCUUUGGGUUCUGGGGGAAGUAUGGUACGCAAGUCUGAAACUUAAAGGAAUUGACGGAACAGCACACCAGAAGUGGAACCUGCGGCUUAAUUUGACUCAACACGGGGAAACUCACGAGCGCAAGACAGAGAAGGGAUUGACAGAUUGAGAGCUCUUUCUUGAUUCUUUGGGUGGUGGUGCAUGGCCGUUCUUAGUUGGUGGAGUGAUUUGUCUGGUUAAUUCCGUUAACGAACGAGACCUUAACCUGCUAACUAGUCUGCUUGUGAACAACAGGUUGUACUUCUUAGAGGGACUAUUGUGCAAGAAGCCAAUGGAAGUUUAAGGCAAUAACAGGUCUGUGAUGCCCCUAGACGUGCUCGGCCGCACGCGCGUUACAAUGACUGGCGCAGAAAGUAUUUCCUGUCCUGGGAAGGUACGGGUAAUCUUAUUAAUACCAGUCGUGUUAGGGAUAGUUCUUUGGAAUUUUGGAUCUUGAACGAGGAAUUUCUAGUAAGUGCAAGUCAUCAGCU